AUGACCUUGAGUCGGAUGAUGGAGAUUGCUACCAAGUACGCCAACGGCGAAGAAGAAGACCGACUCCGAAGCGGCAAGCACAAGCCGAGUCAGUCGGAAAAAGGAAACACCAGUCGGAAACAGAAGCGGAAGGCUGAACCGGCAGCUCCUGGAGAGGCUCUGGCCGUGACUCAAGGAAAGUUUAAGGGGAAACCAAAAGGAUCCUGGAACCCCAAGAAGGUAAAGGAUAAAGAAGGGAACGGCGUGAUGGAUAUGCCGUGCCACAUCCACACGAAGAAAGAUGAAGAGGGGAAUAUCAUUUACCCAAAGUACACCACUCGCCAAUGUCGACUCCUGAUCCAGCAGUUUCAGGGAAAACAGUCUAAGGACAAGGAGGAGUCGGACAAAGCCGAAGACAAAGAGGACAGUGAGGGAGGAUACCCGCAUAUCAACUCCACCCUGAUGAUCUUCGCAGAUGUGGAAAGCAGAAGUCGACUGAAAGUGAUUAACCGAGAGGUUAACAUGGUUGCCCCAGCAAAGGCAAAUUAUCUGAAAUGGUCUCAAACACCCAUCACAUUCGACCAAUCUGAUCACCCGACUCAUAUUGCCACCCCUGGGAGGCAAGCUUUGGUGGUCGAUCCAGUUGUCGAAGGCACUCGACUAACAAAGGUGCUGAUGGACGGUGGAAGUGGGCUGAAUCUGUUAUAUGCAGACACGUUGAAAGGUAUGGGCAUUCCGAUGUCCCGACUGAGCACUAGUAACAUGAGCUUCCAUGUAGUUAUACCAGGGAAGAAGGCCGAGUCACUCGGCCAGAUAGCUUUGGACGUAGUGUUUGGCAAUUCAAAGCAUUUUCGCAAAGAAAAGUUGACGUUUGAGGUCGUGGAUUUUCAAAGUGCAUAUCAUGCCAUUUUGGGGAGACCAGCCUAUGCACGGUUCAUGGCUCGACCAUGUUACGUGUACCUCAAACUGAAGAUGCCUGGUCCCAAAGGAGUGAUCACUGUCACCGGCGAUAGGAAAAAGGCGGAGGAGUGCUUUCAGAAGGGCUCCAAGAUUGUCGAUUCCCAAGUGACAGCGGUCGAGUUCGAAGAAUACAAGCAAAACGCAGAUCCGAGUGACUUGCUGCGAUCCAAGAAGCCCGCCAUAGAGUCUGCAUUCCAGUCGUCCGAUGAGACGAAGCCUGUUCACAUUCACCCGACCGACCCCGAAGCAGCUCCGACCCGCAUCUCCACAACACUCGACCCAAAAUAG
rnacentral:rRNA from 1 species